rnacentral:rRNA from 1 species
GUGUCAGCCGCCGCGGUAAGACGAGGGGUCCUAGCGUUGUUCGGAAUCAUUGGGCGUAAAGCGUAUGUAGGCGGCUUUUCAAGUCAGAUGUGAAAGCCCACGGCUUAACCGUGGAAAUGCAUUUGAAACUGCUAAGCUUGAGUGCGAAAGAGGAUGGUAGAAUUCCAGGUGUAGUGGUGAAAUACGUAGAUAUCUGGAGGAAUACCGGAGGCGAAGGCGGCCAUCUGGUUCGCUACUGACGCUGAGAUACGAAAGCGUGGGGAUCAAACAGGAUUAGAUACCCUUGUAGUCC